rnacentral:rRNA from 1 species
GGGGAGCUUGCACAGGUGCUGCAUGGCUGUCGUCAGCUCGUGUCGUGAGAUGUUCGGUUAAGUCCGCUAACGAGCGCAACCCUCGCUGUGUGUUACAAGUGUCACACGGAACUGCCGGUCAUAAACCGGAGGAAGGUGGGGAUGACGUCAAGUCAGCAUGGCCUUUAUAUCCUGGGCUACACACACGCUACAAUGGGAAGGGACAAUAGGUUGCGAAGCCGCGAGGCGGAGCCAAUCCAGCAAAACUUCCCUCAGUUCAGAUUGCAGGCUGCAACCCGCCUGCAUGAAGUUGGAGUUGCUAGUAAACGCAGGUCAGCCAUACUGCGUUGAAUACGUUCCCGGGGCUU